rnacentral:rRNA from 1 species
CAACUUUCAGCAAUGGAUCUCUUGGUUCUCGCAUCGAUGAAGAACCCAGGGAAUCGCGAUAAGUAAUGUGAAUUGCAGAUUUUCAGUGAAUCAUCGAAUCUUUGAACGCACCUUGCGCCCCUUGGUAUUCCGAGGGGCAUGCCUGUUUGAGUGUCAUU